rnacentral:misc_RNA from 1 species
UAGAGAUCGUGGCGCUUUACGUCGACAUAGGAGGUGUAGCGCGGGAUGGGCUUGCGGGUGACGCGGUGCUUCUCGAAGUUGUCAUCUUUGUCCAGCCAGCUGCAUAGGUCCUUCUGCGAGGAAGUCUGGAGCCCGCCGCGGUAUUUGUACAGCAGGAUUGGAGUCUCGUCGUGUUCGUCAAGCCUAUAUUUCUCCGACGCGCUGCUUGUCGACGUAUG